CUCCGCUUUGGCAACCACAGGUUUCUGCUCAUGUCUGUAAGUCUGUUUCUGUUUUGUAGAUAGGUUCAUUUAUGCCAUAUAAACAUGUGUGUGUGUGUGUGUGUGUGUGUGUGUGUAUUUGCCCUUUUUUUUGAGAGCCACACCUGCAGCAUAUGGAAGUUCCCAGGCUAGGGGUUGAAUUGGAGCUGCAGCCGCUGGCCUACACCACAGCCACAGCAACUCAGGAUCUGAGCUGUAUCUGCAACCUACACCACAGCUCGUGGCAGCGCUGGGUCCUUUACCCACUGAGUGAGGCCAGGGAUUAAACCCACGUCCUCAUAUAUACUAGCUGGGUUCAUAACCCGCUGAGCCACAAUGAGAACUCCCCAUUUAUGCCAUAUUUUAGAUUCCACAUAAAAGUGAUGUCAUAUGGUAUUUGUCUUUCUCUUUCUGACCUACUUCACUUAGUAUGAGAAUCUCUAGUUGCAGAUGUGUUGGUGCAAAUGGAAUUACUUCAUUCUUUCUUAUUGAAGCAGACACUUCUGAUUUAUCAUCUUAAACAACGCUGCCCUCCUGCAGAUAUGCGUUUAGAACGUUUUUCCCUCUGGGGUCCUUUAAAAUGCAGCUCUCCAGACACCAUCCUCAGAGACUUCCAAAUUGGCAGGUCUGGGCAAGGUGCAGGAAUCUGCCCAAGAAUUUUUAAUUGUAGAAAGGUGUGCUUGCUCAAAGUCUAGUAAAUAAGCAUCGAUAUGAAAAACCGAGGUUGCCCAGCCUUUGCCCACAUCCCUGCAGCAAAUAUUUUACCUCUUUGAACUGAUCGUUUAGAUUUUUUUCUCUACAGCUUAAAAUGACAAGCUUGUAUGAUUUCUGCGUGAUUUUUCAGUUUUUAGAUUGCUUAUGGACUUUAUAUUGUGCGAAACAAGGAUUUAGUCUCCUCUCUAAUGCCCCUCACCACACAGAACCCUCUUCCCAUCCUCUGAGUACCAUUCUAUCCUAAUUUUGCCUGGGUCAACAUUCAGUAUUUACGUUGUCAUGACUGUGAAUGUGCUAAUCAUAACUGAACUGAGCUAUGACUAUUUUUCCUUUCCUGCACCAUUUUUUUUUUCUGGAGUUUGUUAUCACCUCUUUAGUUUGGUUGCUAGCAUCUCAGCUUCACUAAAUCCUUUACCACUGGUCCAUCACCGUUCCAGCCUCUAAGACUUUCUAGCCAUUGUCCUCUCUCCUGGAGAGAAAAAAAUAUCCCUUUACUAUAGUUCUAGCAGAUUUAGGGGAGGCUGAGAGUGGUUUUUUUUUUAAGCUUCACCCUUGUCACAUGGAAGUGCCUGGGCCAGGGAUUGAACCCACAUCACAGCAGUGGCAAUGCUGGAUCCUUAACUCUUAGGCCACCAGGGAACUCCUUGGGAGAAGGCUGUGAAAGUAACUAUAUUUUCUCCCAGUCUGUGGCUUGUCUUUUCACACUUUCUUAAUAGUGUCUUUGAAAGUGCAAAAGUUUUGAAUUUUAAAAAAAGCCAACUUAUCAAUUUUUUCUUUUAUCCUGUCCUAUUGCUGUGUAUGAAAAAAUAUAUAUAUAUAGUUUGUGUGUAUGUAUAUCUUCUAAGUGUGACAGACAGAGAUUGCAUUGGAUGUGGGGGAAAGAAAGGGAAGAAUCAAGGAUGAUUAAAAUGGGAGUUCCUUUUGUGGCUCAGUGCCUAACGAACCCGACUAGGGUCCAUAAGGACGCAGGUUCGAUCCCUGGCCUUGCUCAGUGGGUUAAGGAUCAGGUGUUGGCGUGAGUUGUGGUGUAGAUCGAAGACGUGGCUCGAAUCCCGCGUUGCUGUGUGUGGUGUAGGCUGACAGCUGUAGCUCUCAUUCAACCCCUAGCCUGGGAACUUCCAUACGCCUCGGGUGUGGCCCUAAAAAGAUGAAAGACAAAAAAAAAAAAAAGAGUGAUUAAAAUGUAAAAUGUUUUUGGCUGAGCAAGUGGCAGGGUGAUGUUGCCAUCACCUGAGAUGGGGGAAGACUAUAGGAGCAGCAGGUUGAGGGGUCGGGGAACCUCUGUUUUGAACACACUGAGUGUGAAUUUGUCUGUUAGAAAUCCAUGGGGAUAUGCGGAGAGGCAGGGGGGAGCCGGAGCUUGGGGGCACAUUCAGCUCCUGGCUGAGAUGGCUGUGUGAGCCCAGAGAGAGGGGGCGGGGAACCAAGGCUGGGGACUGGACCUUGAGGGACACCUAGCAAGGACAUUCAGGAGUAGUAGCCAGGGAGGAAUCGUCCUCACCUUCAGCUUCCUUGUAUAACUAGGCAUUAGUAGUUAAUUGCCCUUCCCUCCCAGGGCGGGCGAGGCCUCUGGGCGAUGGCUGGCGGAGGCACAUCCCCGAGCCGGCAGGCUUGUGCAACAGGCUUGGCCCCGAAAGGGGAGGCCUUGGACAGCCUCAGGGACAGAGCCUGGCUGAAGACUGUGACUAAGGAGGGUGAGCAUUUCAAGUCCUUGUAAUUGUGCUCUUAAACGGAAAUGUGGCCUCAUUUUACACUCCUGAGCCCUAAAGCCCUCUCAGGGGCUUGGAGCCCAGGGAAGAGAUGCAGGUUUGCUGCAUUUUAGCCUCCAUAAUGGGGCUAAGGGUUGCAGGUCUGUAACUAACCAUGGGAAGUAGUGUCUGUCGGUAGCCCCCUGCCCUCCCAGGCACUCAACCAGCCACGCACCUGCCUCAGCCUACUCCCGUCAAAGGGAAGAGAAAUGUCAGCAGAAAAGGACAGUCAUCUCUGCUCAAAUGGUGGCAUUUGGGAGCCUACAGUUAUCAGGGUGGGUGUUGUGCUUAUGGGGUGGAGAUGGCACAAGGGAACCUUUUCAAGUCUUUGCCUUCUGCCUGAGACUGGGUGAGUGCUGUGUCUGUUUCCUGUAAAACAAGUCCUCCCGGGAUAUUAAAUCCAGCUUGAGGAAGAUCUCUCUAUCCAUUAAAUUGGCUCAUUUAAUUCAACAAUGAGCCACAAGGCUUUCGGAGCUGUGAGUGGAGAGGGCGCCCAGUCCAAUGUGGGAGGCAGAGGAGGAAACCAAGUGUUUCAAAGCAGGGAUGUCAUAUGAUGCUGGGGCUCGAGUACUGAGGACUUUGCAGUUGGGAAGAAGGGAGCUGGACCAGUCAGGAGGGGACGGAGGGCUUCCUGGAGGAGGCGGCACGCGAGCUGGAUUGUGUGAAUGAAGAUGAACGGAGAGUAUUUUGAAGGUCAUCUGGCUUGUGAUUUGAUAGAUCCAGGGGCUAAGGCUCCAUUUCUGGUUAGUCUGUGAAUGUGGGGUUUAUCCCCACCAAUCACCCUAACUUCUCUGGAUUUAAACCCACAGAGCUACCAGCCAUAUUCGGGAGACACUGGGUUCAAGCAAGUGAAUAUAGGUCAAAGAACUCGGAAGGGUUCAAGGAUGAUGGGACAAGAGAAGUGCAAUCCAUUAUCAUUAUCAUUAAUUAUAUUCCAGGUGUGGGGAAGUAUCUCUUGGCAUUCAGAUCCUAGGAAUUGUGUGUGUGUGUGUGUGUGUGUGUGUGUGUGUGUGUGUGUGUGUGUGUUUUUAGGGCCGUACCUGUGGCAUAUGGAGGUUCCCAGGCUAGGGGUUGAAUCGGAGCUGCAGCUGCCGGCCUUCGCUAGAGCCACAGGAAUGUGGGAUCCGAGUCAUGUCUGCAGCCCACACCACAGCUCACAGCAAUCUGGAUCCUUAACCCACUGACCGAGACCAGGGAUCAAACCUGCAUUCUCAUGGAUACUAGUUGGGUUCCUUAACCACUGAGUCACGACUCCAAGAUCCUAGGAAUUUUUGAACCUGGAAUCAGACGUGUGCUGGAUGGAUCAUCUGGAAGCAGGCAGAACAGCAAGGACAUUGGAAAAAGUUUGGCUUCACGAAUUUAUCUUCAAGUAUGCAAUCAAAUAAUAUAGAAAAAGGCUGUUUUCAUUUUAGUAUACAUCCAGAUUUUAUAUUUUAUGAUUUUGAUGUUGAUUCAUGUUUGUGGGAAUGGGCGCCAUACUCUUUGCAAAGCUUUGACCCUGGAAAGGAUAGGGCAAUAUUUAAAAUUUCUAGUGACUUCCCAUUCCCCGCCAAACAACCUUCUAGAAACAGCUCAACCUCACUUCAGCUCCCUUUUAUAGGCUGUGAUCAUUGGGAAUCUUCUGAAGUUGGAAAACCGUAGCCUAGCUACGGCAAUGAUUGGUACUGUUACAGUGUCCUUAAGACGUGUGCCAGGCGCAGAGGUUGAGGGCUUUCUCUGCCGUGUCCCCUUAAUCCCGCUGACAGCCCUACCCGGGCAGUUUGCGCAGGAGAGCCUUGAGGCUCAGAAAGAUAAAGUGACUUGGUCAAGGUCACCUUGGGAAUGACGGCUAGAAAUGGAAUUUAAACCCGGUCUGCCUCAUUCCACAGCUCUGGCCCUUGACCAUUCCUCAUGCCGCCUCCUAGAGGCUGGAACCAGAGGGGGCAGAGAGAGGUUCUCAUUCGCAGUCUGCACUUGACAGCGUUCUGUGACAUUAACACGGGACUUGAUUUACUUCCAGAUCCAUGUGGCCAGAUUCUUUGCUCAGGUUCCUGUCACAUACACAUGUGAUAUAAUCUCCUUAAAAGGAAAAGAGAGUUCUUUCAAAAGAUCCAGGAGAAUAUUUAAGCAUCUAUCAAGAAAUGUAGUCUUGCAAAAGUGUUCCUAAAUUAUUGACUUUAUCUUGCUUUGUGGCAUUUGUAACAUUGUUUAGUGCCUAUUGUAUACCAUGCACUCACUGUUCUAGGUCCCAGGGACAUGGGAAUGGGCAAGGCUUUUGGAUAACAAAUGCCUGGGUAAACAAGGAGACAAAUCCCUAAACCAACCAGGGUGACAAAUAGGGAUAAAGUUGAUGAAAGAAGCAAACAGGGCAGCACAACACGGUGACACAGGCAGGGCCGCUCUGGAGAGUUGGGUCAGGGAAACCUCUCUGGGGAGGUGGCUGCUGAGCUGAGAGCUGAAGGUUAGAAGGCUCCAUGCAUCUGGUCAACCAGAGAGCACCACAAAGGCCACCGUCCACAUGGGGAGGAGGGAGAGGCUCUGGACUAGGCUCUGGAGCCAGCCGUGGAGAGGAUGAGGGACCAGCAAGACCAAGAAAGAGCAGCCUGAGGGGAGGAGGACAAGCAGACGUAUCAGGGGCCAGGAAGCCAAGAGAACUGUUUUAAGAAGGAGGGUGUGGCAACUGUGCUUGAGAGACUGUCUCUCAGAUUCAGGAACGUGGAGGCCCCCGGUGACCUCGAGAAGACGAAUUGCAGUGGAAAGCUUGUCAGGCUGUGCAGCGGAGACAAGAGCUGGACUAGUGGGUCAGAGGAACCGUGGGAAGCGAAGUCAGUGCUUCCAAGAAGCUCUGCUAUGGAGGUCGGCAGAGAAAUGGGGCAGAAGCUGAAAGGGUGUUUGGGGUGCCCAGAAGCUGUUCUGGCGGGUCUCCCAUCCAACAAUCCUUUCUCUGCCCACGUUCCGUGCUGGGCUGUGGGAGGGUGACCCUCUUACCGCAUCCCCUGCAUUCUCCUGUUAGAAUGUGCCCGGGUGGGUUCAGCCCUGGGGAGGCAAAGGCAGGCGAGCCAAAGGCUGGAAGAAAGGGAGGUGUUCCCCCCCCCGCCCCGCCUCACUGCUUCCACACCUGGUCUCCAGGGAGGAGCUGUGACCUCUGUGCCCCCAAGUGCUUCCGGGCCACCUGCCCCCAUGGCUCUUGGAACAUUAUUUCUUCCCCUGGCCUAUUCCGAGCAAGAAUUUGCCACCCCUCCUGAGCUGGGGCUUGUCUCUGGGUGCCCAGCAUCCUUGUUUUGUCCCUUAAUUUUGUAAGUAGUCCUUCCUUUGAGGUUGGUUGCUUGAAUCAUCUGAGUGAAUUCUCUUUCCUGCUUGGACCCUAACUAACCAAUACAGGGUGUGCUUCCUCUGCCUGCUGGAGGGGAUAGAUCCAGACUCCAGGCAGAAGGCAGCUGGCCUUAGGCUGGUUGCAGGAGGAGAGGCAGGGAGCCCCGGCCCAGGGCAGGGGGGCUGGUAUUUGGUCUGAUGGCGUCUAGUUUCUUAAGGAAGGCUGAACCAAGUCCCUCAGCUGCAGAGUGCAGGGUAGUUUGUAGAGACAGAAGAACGUAUGGAACGGCUACCUCUGAGAAUAGGAAAAUGGACUUUCUAGGAAAGACUGGUAGGCCUGCCAGGCAUGGAGAGUGCCAAUUUGAGGUUUGUGGUCGUGAAUUUAAAGAGCAGCCGUGUGCUUUCCCCCAGCAUCCUUCAGCCGCUCUGGCACGGGCCUGGGGGCGGGUGCUCAGGAGGGCUGGGGCUUCGCCAGGUGUGGACAGAGAAGGGCCGUUUAUGGCGGGGUUACCUGGGGAGCCACAGUCACGUGGAACGUGGAGUCUGCACGGGGCAAGGAGGGAAAGGCGGCCAUGAGCGGUGAUAGUAGGAAGGUGAUAAUGGACCUGGAUGGGGGACUUGAUGAAGCACAUAGGAGGAGAGGAAGCGGGGCCCUCAGCGGAAGACUUGAAGUGAUGGGGAGAUGGUACAAGAAACCAUAAGCUGGGGGAGCACAUGGUGGGCCCCGAUAGCUCGAGAGGGGCAAGGAUUUGGACAUGGAGGAGGAUAAAUGGUUUGGAUAAUACGGUAACUGGGGGCAAGGUGGGUACCCAUGUCACCUCUUGGCCUCCCCUAGACCAGUUUCGCCAUGCGUCUCCCUGAACAGUCCCCUCCUGCCAGGGGGCCUGAAAAGCCAAUGACAGCUUUGGGGUCUCAGUUUUAAGGCUGAGAAGGCCAUUUGUCAACUUGGCUCCUUCUUGCAACCUGAUCCAGAGCUGGUUCUGACCACAUUGCGCUUGGGGUGGUGAUGGAACUACAAGCUCAGGGGGCGGGGGUAAAACACUUGCCCAAGCUUGUAGAGAGUCUGUUUGAAUCCACAAAGGCUGACUCUCCAGGCAGGGACACAGGCAGAGAAAGAACCAAAGAUAAGUGAUGCUGCAGAACCCUCUGGGAAUAUGGAAGUUAGAAAGAUUUCUUCUGUUGUGGGAGGGGGAGGCUAGAGCUAGAGCUGCAGGAUGAACAGAAAUGCGUGCGGAGGAGUUCCCGUCAUGGCUCAGUGGUAGUGACCCCAACUAGUAUCCAUGAGGAUGCAGGUUCGAUCCCUGGCCUCGCUCAGUGAGUUAAGGAUCUGGUGUUGCUGCGAGCUGUGGUGUAGGUCAUAGACGAGGCUCAGAUCCCGUGUUGCUGAGGCUGUGAUGUAGGCCUGCAGCUGUAGCUCCGAUUGGACCCCUAGCCUGGGAACUUCCACAUGCCUUGGGUGUGGCCCUCAAAAGACAAAAGACAAAAAAUAAAAAUAAAAAAGAAGGAAAUGCACGUGGGAGUUCCCAUCGUGGUUCAGCGGUUAACGAACUCGGCUAGUAUCCAUGAGGAUGUGGGUUCGAUUCCUGGCCUUGUUCAGUGGGUUAAGGAUCCAGCAUUGCCAUGAGCUGUGGUGUAGGUCGCAGAUGUGGCUUGGAUUUGGCCUUGCUGUGGCUGUGAUGUAGGCCAGUGGCUACAGCCUCAACUGGACCCCUAGCCUGGGGACCUCCACAUGCGACAGGGGCGGCCCUAAAAAAAAAAAGAAAAGAAAAA
rnacentral:lncRNA from 1 species